UACGAAGGGAGCUAGCGUUGUUCGGAAUCAUGUCGUGGGCGUAAAGGGCGCGUAAGGCGGCCUGAUAAGUAGGGGGUGAAAUCCUGCGGCUUAACCGCAGGGCUGCCUUCGUAAACUGUCGAAGGCUAGAGCACAGUAGGAAGGCAGGGUGGAAUUCCCGGUGUAGCGGUGGAAUGCGUAGAGAUCGGGAAGAACAUCAGUGGCCGAAGGCGGCCUGCUGGGCUGUUGCUGACGCUGAGGCGCGACAGCGUGGGGAGCAAACAGG
rnacentral:rRNA from 1 species